GCCGGGGUGGUGGAAUUGGUAGACACACAAGCUUCAGAUGCUUGUGGAGGAAACUCCGUGGAGGUUCGAGUCCUCUCCUCGGCA
rfam:Gammaproteobacteria bacterium RBG_16_37_9 RBG_16_scaffold_1305, whole genome shotgun sequence.